UGGGACGAAAUGCUUUCCUGACAAACAUUAUUGUAUGCUGAUAUAAUAAUUAACAACCGAUCCUAUGGGCUGAAAUAUGUGUUAAAAGCUUGGAGCAAGACACAUUACGAUCGAUGGCGUUCGCUGACUGAUGCAUUGCUAUUUACUGCUGACUAGCUUAUCCUUUUGUUGCCUCUAAUCAGUGAUGAACACCAAUUAGAAUCAAUCGAUUUAAUUCACAGGAUAUUACGAUUGUUUACAAGGGCCCUAGCACCUGUAGUUUAAGCUAUUCGAUUC